rnacentral:rRNA from 1 species
AGUCGGAACGCUGGCGGCGUGCUUACACAUGCAAGUCGAACGAUGAAGCCUUUCGGGGUGGAUUAGUGGCGAACGGGUGAGUAACACGUGGGCAAUCUGCCCUUCACUCUGGGACAAGCCCUGGAAACGGGGUCUAAUACCGGAUAAUACUUCUGCCUGCAUGGGUGGGGGUUGAAAGCUCCGGCGGUGAAGGAUGAGCCCGCGGCCUAUCAGCUUGUUGGUGGGGUAAUGGCCUACCAAGGCGACGACGGGUAGCCGGCCUGAGAGGGCGACCGGCCACACUGGGACUGAGACACGGCCCAGACUCCUACGGGAGGCAGCAGUGGGGAAUAUUGCACAAUGGGCGAAAGCCUGAUGCAGCGACGCCGCGUGAGGGAUGACGGCCUUCGGGUUGUAAACCUCUUUCAGCAGGGAAGAAGCGCAAGUGACGGUACCUGCAGAAGAAGCGCCGGCUAACUACGUGCCAGCAGCCGCGGUAAUACGUAGGGCGCAAGCGUUGUCCGGAAUUAUUGGGCGUAAAGAGCUCGUAGGCGGCUUGUCACGUCGGAUGUGAAAGCCCGGGGCUUAACCCCGGGUCUGCAUUCGAUACGGGCUAGCUAGAGUGUGGUAGGGGAGAUCGGAAUUCCUGGUGUAGCGGUGAAAUGCGCAGAUAUCAGGAGGAACACCGGUGGCGAAGGCGGAUCUCUGGGCCAUUACUGACGCUGAGGAGCGAAAGCGUGGGGAGCGAACAGGAUUAGAUACCCUGGUAGUCCACGCCGUAAACGUUGGGAACUAGGUGUUGGCGACAUUCCACGUCGUCGGUGCCGCAGCUAACGCAUUAAGUUCCCCGCCUGGGGAGUACGGCCGCAAGGCUAAAACUCAAAGGAAUUGACGGGGGGCCCGCACAAGCCAGCGGAGCAUGUGGCUUAAUUCGACGCAACGCGAAGAACCUUACCAAGGCUUGACAUAUACCGGAAAGCAUCAAAGAUGGUGCCCCCCUUGGGGCCGGUAUACAAGGGGGAGCAU